GUUCAACUGUGUUCUUUUAUCUUGCUUUACCCGCUCUGCCUCUGAAAGUUUCCCCUACCAUACUUUAGGAGCUGUGUCUCAUAAGAGAAAAAUCUGUCUGAAAAAAUGUCCGUCAAUUGACAUAAAGGAAGAUGAAAACAUACUUGAUUGAUGGACAUUAGUAAGGAGUCACCAGACAGUUCUUUGGCUCAAAGUUCAUCACUGGAAUAUCAGUGAACCAGCAUUUCAGCUAAACUCAGCACCCACCUAAGAAGGAAAGUUUACCUACCAG